rnacentral:rRNA from 1 species
GUUAAGCGACUAAGCGUACACGGUGGAUGCCCUGGCAGUCAGAGGCGAUGAAGGACGUGCUAAUCUGCGAUAAGCGUCGGUAAGGUGAUAUGAACCGUUAUAACCGGCGAUUUCCGAAUGGGGAAACCCAGUGUGAUUCGUCACACUAUCAUUAACUGAAUCCAUAGGUUAAUGAGGCGAACCGGGGGAACUGAAACAUCUAAGUACCCCGAGGAAAAGAAAUCAACCGAGAUUCCCCCAGUAGCGGCGAGCGAACGGGGAGGAGCCCAGAGCCUGAAUCAGUGUGUGUGUUAGUGGAAGCGUCUGGAAAGGCGCGCGAUACAGGGUGACAGCCCCGUACACAAAAAUGCACAUGCUGUGAGCUCGAUGAGUAGGGCGGGACACGUGGUAUCCUGUCUGAAUAUGGGGGGACCAUCCUCCAAGGCUAAAUACUCCUGACUGACCGAUAGUGAACCAGUACCGUGAGGGAAAGGCGAAAAGAACCCCGGCGAGGGGAGUGAAAAAGAACCUGAAACCGUGUACGUACAAGCAGUGGGAGCACGCUUAGGCGUGUGACUGCGUACCUUUUGUAUAAUGGGUCAGCGACUUAUAUUCUGUAGCAAGGUUAACCGAAUAGGGGAGCCGAAGGGAAACCGAGUCUUAACUGGGCGUUAAGUUGCAGGGUAUAGACCCGAAACCCGGUGAUCUAGCCAUGGGCAGGUUGAAGGUUGGGUAACACUAACUGGAGGACCGAACCGACUAAUGUUGAAAAAUUAGCGGAUGACUUGUGGCUGGGGGUGAAAGGCCAAUCAAACCGGGAGAUAGCUGGUUCUCCCCGAAAGCUAUUUAGGUAGCGCCUCGUGAAUUCAUCUCCGGGGGUAGAGCACUGUUUCGGCAAGGGGGUCAUCCCGACUUACCAACCCGAUGCAAACUGCGAAUACCGGAGAAUGUUAUCACGGGAGACACACGGCGGGUGCUAACGUCCGUCGUGAAGAGGGAAACAACCCAGACCGCCAGCUAAGGUCCCAAAGUCAUGGUUAAGUGGGAAACGAUGUGGGAAGGCCCAGACAGCCAGGAUGUUGGCUUAGAAGCAGCCAUCAUUUAAAGAAAGCGUAAUAGCUCACUGGUCGAGUCGGCCUGCGCGGAAGAUGUAACGGGGCUAAACCAUGCACCGAAGCUGCGGCAGCGACACUGUGUGUUGUUGGGUAGGGGAGCGUUCUGUAAGCCUGCGAAGGUGUGCUGUGAGGCAUGCUGGAGGUAUCAGAAGUGCGAAUGCUGACAUAAGUAACGAUAAAGCGGGUGAAAAGCCCGCUCGCCGGAAGACCAAGGGUUCCUGUCCAACGUUAAUCGGGGCAGGGUGAGUCGACCCCUAAGGCGAGGCCGAAAGGCGUAGUCGAUGGGAAACAGGUUAAUAUUCCUGUACUUGGUGUUACUGCGAAGGGGGGACGGAGAAGGCUAUGUUGGCCGGGCGACGGUUGUCCCGGUUUAAGCGUGUAGGCUGGUUUUCCAGGCAAAUCCGGAAAAUCAAGGCUGAGGCGUGAUGACGAGGCACUACGGUGCUGAAGCAACAAAUGCCCUGCUUCCAGGAAAAGCCUCUAAGCAUCAGGUAACAUCAAAUCGUACCCCAAACCGACACAGGUGGUCAGGUAGAGAAUACCAAGGCGCUUGAGAGAACUCGGGUGAAGGAACUAGGCAAAAUGGUGCCGUAACUUCGGGAGAAGGCACGCUGAUACGUAGGUGAAGUCCCUCGCGGAUGGAGCUGAAAUCAGUCGAAGAUACCAGCUGGCUGCAACUGUUUAUUAAAAACACAGCACUGUGCAAACACGAAAGUGGACGUAUACGGUGUGACGCCUGCCCGGUGCCGGAAGGUUAAUUGAUGGGGUCAGCGCAAGCGAAGCUCUUGAUCGAAGCCCCGGUAAACGGCGGCCGUAACUAUAACGGUCCUAAGGUAGCGAAAUUCCUUGUCGGGUAAGUUCCGACCUGCACGAAUGGCGUAAUGAUGGCCAGGCUGUCUCCACCCGAGACUCAGUGAAAUUGAACUCGCUGUGAAGAUGCAGUGUACCCGCGGCAAGACGGAAAGACCCCGUGAACCUUUACUAUAGCUUGACACUGAACAUUGAGCCUUGAUGUGUAGGAUAGGUGGGAGGCUUUGAAGUGUGGACGCCAGUCUGCAUGGAGCCGACCUUGAAAUACCACCCUUUAAUGUUU